UACGUAGGUGGCAAGCGUUGUCCGGAUUUACUGGGCGUAAAGGGCUUGCAGGCGGUUUGUUAAGUCUGGUGUGAAAUCUCCCGGCUCAACUGGGAGGGGUCAUCGGAUACUGGCGGACUUGAGGUAGGUAGAGGAAGGCAGAAUUCCUGGUGUAGCGGUGAAAUGCGUAGAUAUCAGGAGGAAUACCAGUGGCGAAGGCGGCUUUCUGGGCCUAUCCUGACGCUGAGGUGCGAAAGCGUGGGGAGCAAACCGG
rnacentral:rRNA from 1 species